GACGAACGCUGGCGGCGUGCUUAACACAUGCAAGUCGAACGGAAAGGCCCUGCUUUUGUGGGGUGCUCGAGUGGCGAACGGGUGAGUAACACGUGAGUAACCUGCCCUUGACUUUGGGAUACUUCAGGAAACUGGGGCUAAUACCGGAUAGGAGCUCCUGCUGCCUGGUGGGGGUUGGAAAGUUUCGGCGGUUGGGGAUGGACUCGCGGCUUAUCAGCUUGUUGGUGGGGUAGUGGCUUACCAAGGCUUUGACGGGUAGCCGGCCUGAGAGGGUGACCGGCCACAUUGGGACUGAGAUACGGCCCAGACUCCUACGGGAGGCAGCAGUGGGGAAUAUUGCACAAUGGGCGGAAGCCUGAUGCAGCAACGCCGCGUGCGGGAUGACGGCCUUCGGGUUGUAAACCGCUUUCGCCUGUGACGAAGCGUGAGUGACGGUAAUGGGUAAAGAAGCACCGGCUAACUACGUG
rnacentral:rRNA from 1 species